GAUGAACGCUGGCGGCGUGCCUAACACAUGCAAGUCGAACGAAGCACCUUACCUUAUUCUUCGGAUGAAAGUUUGGUGACUGAGUGGCGGACGGGUGAGUAACGCGUGGGUAACCUGCCCUGUACAGGGGGAUAACAGCUGCAAACGGCUGCUAAUACCGCAUAAGCGCACGAGGAGACAUCUCCUUGUGUGAAAAACUCCGGUGGGACAGGAUGGGCCCGCGUCGGAUUAGGUGGUUGGCAGGGUCACGGCCUACCAAGGCAACGAUCAGUAGCCGGUCUGAGAGGAUGAACGGCCACAUUGGAACUGGGACACGGUCCAAACUCCUACGGGAGGCAGCAGUGGGGAAUAUUGCAAAAUGGGGGAAACCAUGAUGCAGCAACGCCGCGUGAGUGAAGAAGUAUUUCGGUAUGUAAAGCUCUAUCAGCAGGGAAGAUAAUGACGGUACCUGACUAAGAAGCUCCGGCUAAAUACGUG
rnacentral:rRNA from 1 species